AUUGCCAUGGCCACUUUCCAAUCAAAAUUAAAUUACACUGGAUGCAAGUAAUUAUUUAUUAGUUCUAGAAACCGCUAAUAGUGUGAGCAAAGUACAUUUACUGAGUGCGCGUCGCGUGCAGUCCACUGAUGAGUCCCGGCACAAUAAACAUUAGGGACGAAAAGGUCUUGUAUUCGACCUUCUGGGCUAUACCAAUGAUACUUGAUCGUCCGUUACUGUAAGUGUAUGGCUUUUUGUCGCACUUUUCUGCAGCUCAAGCACACCUGUAAUGUUCUCCAUACAACGCCUUCUCAUGGAUCUGACCAAUCAGGUUGCGUAACACCAGGUGGAGGUAGCAAGAGUAUGGCCGCCCAGAUUGAGAAUGACAAUUGCAAUAGAAGACUCACCAAUAAGAGAGAGUAAGUCAAUGUGAUAUAUAGGUUUUUCGUUUCUCACAUACGUGUACAUGUCCAUUCAUGACAUCCGCUCUUUGUAAAUAGAGAUUUCAUUUGUCAGUGAUUAUUAGCAUUAAUUAUAGAGUGUUAUGAUUAUUAUAUGCAUUCCAAAUUAGAAUGCAGCCACAGAACUUUAGAGCCUGCCUCUAUGUCCCUCUGUAGUGCGUGCUAUGAAGUUGAUGCUCACAUUACCAUAGAUAACUGUAAAAAACGUUGUGGCAGCUUAUAACACCCGACUACUGGAUUAGGGUAGAGUAUAUAGUUUAGCGAUGCUGUAUGUAGCUUGCACUGUACUGGCUGGCAAGAUGUUUUUUAUGCAGGUAGGCAUAAGAGUGUAAUGUAACGUCACGACUGACUUUCCGAAUCCGGGGAGAAAACACUCCCAGCUGACUCAUAUGUGCGUCCUAACCAACUAGCAGACCAAGCCCCAAAUUAACUCUUCAGAACCGUGCUAGUGUCAUCCAUUCGCACAAAGAGUUACCGUAUACGUGUUUCGAUUGCGAGGAUUUCCCCCCCCGCAUAGAUCGCAAACAAAAGGCACAUGCAAUAAGGCUUUUACAGUGUCAUUCGCAAAUGGUUAGCUACGCAUUCGAAACUCGGUAUACGGUAUCUCCUCUAUCUGUAACAAAAAAAAUUUCACUAAUAACCUUCGCAUAAUUGGCCUUCAAUUCGAGUAUAAUAAAAAGCCUGCAGUUGCAUGAGCUUAAUUGGUACCUGUGUCUGCUAGCAUGUAUAUUCAUAGACAUAUUUCUCAUUUUUGUGAGCCCCACAAAAGGUUCAACAAGCCUUUGCCUAUAAAACCAGACCUGAAAUUAAGAUUACUUACUUGAAUUGGAUUUGGCAGAAAUAUAUCAAUUUUUGGGAAGGUCUCCCUAGGUAGUAGCCUAAUCUGGAGGCCUAAUUUGCAAGCAAAAAAAAAGAAGACUAACAUGUACAUAAUACAUGUGAACACAACAAAUUCAUAUAGCGGCCUAUGGCAUAAUAAUUAGCAUUUAGCCAGUCUGCGCAUAUUCACACCACGACAUUCCAAUUCUAGAAACCACUGCAAGAAAGAAUGAACACAUAGAUUUUGUACACACAUCAAGCUUUUUGGAAUUUGUAUCUGGGCAAAAUUUUGUUCCUGGUUUUGGCUGUGGUUUUGUUAAACCUGUCCCCUAGGAUUAAUUAAGCAAAGUUCUGAUGCUGUCAAUUCAAAAAAGAAGACGGACCAGUUUUCAUGAAGGUAUAUACAUGAUAUACAUGUAACUGCAUUGUACUUAUAUAUGCACCUUUGUCAUUGCUAACAUUGUAUGAGCUUAAUAGUGUAUGAUUCUCGAAGGAAAAGCAUGGGCUUAUAUUAGCCUUGGGGAUUUUCUGGAAUGUGCAUGCCUUGAUAUACUAACUUAUACACUAAUUUGUAGCCCUUUUGACGCAUUAUUCAUACAUACGUACUUUGUAUUAACGUGCGAGUUCGUGUUCUAAGCAUUGCCUUUACAUCAUCACGCUCCUGUUGAUUUGGUUAUUCGAUUAGCUGUUGUCGGGGUACAUGUACAUAUGUACUCACACUGGCGGCUAUCAUUUGUGAGCAUUUUUACCUCCAUGUAUAAAUGCUUUGGAGUUCAUAUUCUGAACAUAGCUAGUAUUUCCAUAAACAUGUACCUGUACAGAGGUUGUAUAUAGCCAUUUUGUCACACUCGUACACCUAGCUCCUACAAUUUAAGGUAUUAGAGUGAUGGCAAGGGUGGUGGUAUUUGGGGGGUAUUUGUUGACAAAUACUGUACCGUUAAUAACCCCUAGUACAUGUUAUAAUCCUUGUGCUUCAUUUGUGUGUAUUAGGGUUAGGACUGGCAAGGAUCAAUGCGCUUUUAAAUGCAUUUGUUAGUUUUGACAUACAACUAUCACACACACACCACCCUCCUCACACAGGUCCAACCCGUUCCUGUCUCACACUCUCAUCAUUCAUGGGGAUUACCCCGCCCACCUACCAUUUGGGGCUGUGCAUCUGUUGGCUACUAGUAAGUAAGCCAGGCUGUUGUUACGACGACUCUAACAGUGUGUACAACAAGAAUUUCUGCGGACAAGCUUAGUCAGGCUCUUGAGACUACCUAUGUGGUUGACAAGUAUGCUUUUACAUGGAAAUGCCUGAUUUGAGCUGAUCAGCUCUAUAAAGCAUUAUACAUGUACAUACAUCUAUAGAAUCCAUCUAUAGAAGUGCUUUUUAACAUCAAUGAAAUUUGGGGUGAAUUACAAGGCAGAGGAAUUGUAUUCUAGGCGAGCAUUAAUUAUUCCAGAGAAAAGAGUUGUGUAUGUGGUAAGCAUUGUGGCCUACCAGGAUCAUGUAGACCUCACAAAUGGAUUUUCACACAUGUGGGACUGAGUGCGCAUGCGCACAAUAUUGUGCAAGAGGUUGAAGUUCACGGAUGGCUGUGCUUUCUGGCAUUGAAGAAUUGACUCUACUUGCUGCUCUUUUGUGACCCAACCUCCUCUGGUUCUGUGUUCUCUGAAGUUACUAUGUACAUGCACUCACCCAUACAUGUCAAGUCACGGAUCGCAAAUUCACUUUAAAGUUCGUUCUCGAGUUAUAGCUAGCCAGCUACAAAGGAACUGUGUUGACAAAGGAAAAACGAGUGCAACGAGUCCCUCAAAGAGAGCAAACUGCUUCUUUUGUACCUGGGCGAGCACCUCUCCCAGUAAGAGGCUCUCUUUCUAUUAGACCUCAGUUCCAUAACAAGCCGCUUGACCUUCCUCCUCCGCCAAGUGCCCAGUCCACAUUUGCGAACACUCUUAUUCUCAACUCUAGCUGCAAUUUUAUAUCCUUUUGUGUAAUAACUCUAGUCCAUGUGUCAUUGUCUUGUAAACUUUUGAUGUUUGAUUGAUGAAUGGUGAUUGAUGAAUCAGGUCGUUACAUAAUGACUGAGUGAUACCAUAAAUUAUUGGCACGCAUGACAGCUAGGUGAUAUACAACACAACAAGAUAAUUAAAAUUGUUCACACUUAAAUUCACCUCUAAUCGUAAUAUUGAUUCCAGCAUAAUAUCCUGGACCACUACGCUAUACCACGCGGUACUUCACCCAUGAAAACUGAACAUCUUCAACAACAUUUCUGGUGAUUGCAGAGUGGACAUGCUCCAAUGCUUCACGCACCACAUAACCUAUCGUAUCCACUUUUCUUUCAGCUUGCAGCGAAAAGCAAUUGCCCUUGCAUCGUAUGGAUUAAUGGUUUCACAAAAUAUGUUUACAGGUGUCUCUAUCCCAUUCUUUUGCAAUUCAGCGACUUGUUUCAGAGCAUCUUGAUAGUCAACAGAGCGGCUUGCACCAAUGCACUUGAACGUGACAGUGUGAGAUGCUGAGAGAGAGAGUUGUGGAGUUGUGUCAUCAGAUGGAAUGCUUUCUUCGUCAGCACAAUUUUCUUCAACGUCGUUGGCAAGCAAUUCCAUUGAUUCAAAAUCAUCGUUUCAAAAUCAAUCCACUACAUAUGGCAAACAAACCGUUGUGCUUACACAGGCAGCAAAGAUGGCAGGCUGCAUAAUAAUUGAUCACAUAAUUCCGAGCGAAGCGAAGCGAGGCUAUAAUCGUGCUGGGUUCAAUCGAGAUCAACGAGAGUAGAUGGGUAGCUUCGACACAGCCCUGCAUCACAGCGAACAAACGCAUCAAAACACUCCGUCUCAGACUACUCCAUCUCAUUUUAACCAUUGUUAAUUGCUACCUCCACUUCAACUCGACUGCCAUGAUCUCAAAAUUGGGUAGGUUGUACAUGAACGGUUUGCCAAUAGACAAUAUAGUCCAUGACUCUUCUUCCCUUUGAGAAAACCACCAAUACCCCUGGCAUUGAGCAAGGACUGAAAAAAGAACUCUGAGAAGAAGCCAUUGGACUUAGAGAAAGUUGUCUUAUGAUGAUAAUGACGCGCGUCCAACCUCUCCUGAUACAGUCAUGCACUGACGUAAUGACCAAAAAUCCAGAGACACCUAAAAAUAGAACUGCCCACCAAUCGGAUUGCAGAUUUGUGACCAGAGCACUAGAGCACUAGAGCACAUUUAGGAGUAUAAAAAGCAGCUACACCAGUCUGCCUACUGUCUUCUUCGUGGGAUCGUUUUUGCACACACUAACAGCUAUAUCGUCUCAACUCAACCAGCUCUACCGUCUCACCCAACUAGGUGUAUCGUCUCAACUCAACCAGCUCUACCGUCUCACCCAACCAGCUUUGGACUCGACCAGAAAUUUGCACCCGUCUCCAACAGCUGAACUCUACCUAUCCGCCAGCUCUACCAUCUCUCUCAACAAAGCAGGUUCGUUUGUGUCGUGAUUAUAAAAUGUCAGUUACAAAAUUUUAGAUGCGUCGGGUUACUUUUAUGGAUUUUGCGGUGUAUAGUUAAUUUUGCUGUAUAGUUAAUGCCUUUUGGCCCAAAGCCAUAGUCCAUGUGGUGUGCAGUAUUUGUCUUUGUAGACUGCUCAAUGAUAAUGAAGUGCAAGCUAAGGCGCGGUUAUAGUCACGUUUUCUUGGAUCUCAAUUUGUAGAUUUGCAAAACAACGUUUCGUUCUCGGAGUAGAGCCAGCUAACUAGGUUUCUUCUUGGAAUAGCCUUUUUAGAACAGUUAAACUUGUCCAUGGACUUUUGUUGCUUUUGUUGUCUUGUGUAAUUGCUGAAACUUGCGCAAUAAUUAUUUGUGUAAUAUUUGGCAAAAUCUCAGCCAUCAAGUGACCUCAGAGCUCAUGCCCACCUAGCCUCGAUCCCAGGCCGCACUGAAGAUGGGCCUGGUACUGUUAGCACUCUCCAGAAACUGGGGACUCUGGAUAACAUCGUAUAUGCUCAGUAAAACAAUGACGGUCACAACGAACGGAAGUGCUGCUUGCUAAGACAACUCAACCAUAAAGCCUCUUCUGUCUUCAGACUAGUGUGCAAGCCUUCAAUUGUUUAAUUUAUCGCUGUGUAUAGUUACUACUGUAUAGUUCACACAAACUUCCAACGUAGGAAAUAAUAAACCGUUCUUGUUCCGUUUGUAUAAAUUGUUUACUUAACUUUGCUUGGUU